UACACCAGUAUCCUGCGUAAAUGGACGGAUAGGACGUUACCAAAUCGAACGCGGAAUGUGCAGCCUAAGAGAC
rnacentral:lncRNA from 1 species